CCCCAGGUCCGCGGGACGGGAACCCAUGAACCCCGUCAGGACCCCGCAGGUAGCAGCGGUAAGUGCGGUGAACGUCGCCGCGGAGUGCCUGGGGCAC
rnacentral:SRP_RNA from 1 species